rnacentral:rRNA from 1 species
GAACCAGGUGAGCCCAACACAAUUGAAGAAGCUCUUACUGAUGAAAAGUGGAAAAAGGCAAUGCUUGAAGAAUAUAAGGCUCUUGGAAGAAACAAAACGUGGCAUUUGGUUCCUCCACAGCAAGGUAAAAACCUCAUUGACUGCAAGUGGGUAUUCAGAAUUAAGAGAAAGUCUGAUGGAACCAUUGAUCGUUAUAAGGCUAGACUCGUUGCGAAGGGCUUCAAACAACGGUAUGGCAUAGACUAUGAAGACACCUUUAGUCCAGUUGUAAAAGCUGCUACCAUUCGUCUUGUGUUGUCCAUUGUUGUCCAUUGUUGCGAAGGGCUUCAAACAACGCGUUAG